AGUCGAGCGAACGGACGAGAAGCUUGCUUCUCUGAUGUUAGCGGCGGACGGGUGAGUAACACGUGGAUAACCUACCUAUAAGACUGGGAUAACUUCGGGAAACCGGAGCUAAUACCGGAUAAUAUUUUGAACCGCAUGGUUCAAAAGUGAAAGACGGUCUUGCUGUCACUUAUAGAUGGAUCCGCGCUGCAUUAGCUAGUUGGUAAGGUAACGGCUUACCAAGGCAACGAUGCAUAGCCGACCUGAGAGGGUGAUCGGCCACACUGGAACUGAGACACGGUCCAGACUCCUACGGGAGGCAGCAGUAGGGAAUCUUCCGCAAUGGGCGAAAGCCUGACGGAGCAACGCCGCGUGAGUGAUGAAGGUCUUCGGAUCGUAAAACUCUGUUAUUAGGGAAGAACAUAUGUGUAAGUAACUGUGCACAUCUUGACGGUACCUAAUCAGAAAGCCACGGCUAACUACGUGCCAGCAGCCGCGGUAAUACGUAGGUGGCAAGCGUUAUCCGGAAUUAUUGGGCGUAAAGCGCGCGUAGGCGGUUUUUUAAGUCUGGUGUGAAAGCCCACGGCUCAACCGUGGAGGGUCAUUGGAAACUGGAAACUUGAGUGCAGAAGAGGAAAGUGGAAUUCCAUGUGUAGCGGUGAAAUGCGCAGAGAUAUGGAGGAACACCAGUGGCGAAGGCGACUUUCUGGUC
rnacentral:rRNA from 1 species